rnacentral:rRNA from 1 species
UACGGAGGGGGCUAGCGUUGUUCGGAAUUACUGGGCGUAAAGCGCACGUAGGCGGCUUUGUAAGUUAGAGGUGAAAGCCCAGGGCUUAACCCUGGAAUUGCCUUUAAGACUGCAUCGCUAGAAUCGUGGAGAGGUGAGUGGAAUUCCGAGUGUAGAGGUGAAAUUCGUAGAUAUUCGGAAGAACACCAGUGGCGAAGGCGACUCACUGGACACGUAUUGACGCUGAGGUGUGAAAGCGUGGGGAGCAAACAGG